rnacentral:lncRNA from 1 species
UUAGAGUAUAAGAGAGUCAAAUAGGUUUUAUUAGUUUUAUGCUUGGUUUUCUUUUGAUGUGGCAGGAUUUAUCAGGAAUUGAAUGAAGGAAGUCAAGUAAGGGAGGAAUUGGAUGCAAGAGAAGGUGUAAAAGUAAAGAAAAGAAGAGUCGUAGAGGGGUGAGAUCAAGUGAUGCGCCCACUGCCAGGCGGUGUACUAGUGGGCGUGGGCUAAAUUUCUUAUAUUUUUCUGAGUUAUAAAUACAUUUUCACGAAUCAGAGAAGGAUCUUUUGGCAGAAAGGACGCAGAAACACAUUCUUCUUACCUUGGAGGCAGAUUUUGGAUGCGGAAACUCCAACUUAUCAAUUCUAGGGUUAUCUUUUCCAUACUUUUCAUUCAAUUCAUCUAGAU